GUGAACGCUGGCGGUAGGCCUAACACAUGCAAGUCGAACGGCAGCACAGUAAGAGCUUGCUCUUACGGGUGGCGAGUGGCGGACGGGUGAGGAAUACAUCGGAAUCUACUUUUUCGUGGGGGAUAACGUAGGGAAACUUACGCUAAUACCGCAUACGACCUACGGGUGAAAGCAGGGGAUCUUCGGACCUUGCGCGAUUGAAUGAGCCGAUGUCGGAUUAGCUAGUUGGCGGGGUAAAGGCCCACCAAGGCGACGAUCCGUAGCUGGUCUGAGAGGAGGAUCAGCACCACUGGAACUGAGACACGGUCCAGACUCCUACGGGAGGCAACAGUGGGGAAUAUUGGACAAUGGGCGCAAGCCUGAUCCAGCCAUACCGCGUGGGUGAAGAAGGCCUUCGGGUUGUAAAGCCCUUUUGUUGGGAAAGAAAAGCAGCAGGUUAAUACCCCGCUGUUCUGACGGUACCCAAAGAAUAAGCACCGGCUAACUUCGUG
rnacentral:rRNA from 1 species